rnacentral:rRNA from 1 species
GACGAACGCUGGCGGCGUGCCUAACACAUGCAAGUCGAACGCUGAAGCUUGGUGCUUGCUCUGGGUGGAUGAGUGGCGAACGGGUGAGUAAUACGUGAGUAACCUGCCCUUGACUCUGGGAUAAGCCUGGGAAACUGGGUCUAAUACUGGAUACGACAUGUCACCGCAUGGUGGUGUGUGGAAAGGGUUUUACUGGUUUUGGAUGGGCUCACGGCUUAUCAGCUUGUUGGGGGGGUAAUGGCUCACCAAGGCGACGACGGGUAGCCGGCCUGAGAGGGGGACCGGCCACACUGGGACUGAGACACGGCCCAGACGCCUACGGGAGGCAGCAGUGGGGAGUAUUGCACAAUGGGCGGAAGCCUGAUGCAGCGACGCCGCGUGAGGGAUGACGGCCUUCGAGUUGUAAACCUCUUUCAGCACGGAAGAAGCGGAAGUGACGGUACGUGCAGAAGAAGCGCCGGCUAACUACGUG